AUUGAACGCUAGCGGCAGGCCUAACACAUGCAAGUCGAACGGAGCGGCGAACGGGUGAGUAAUGCCUCGGAAUCUGCCUAGUAGUGGGGGAUAACUACCCGAAAGGGGCGCUAAUACCGCAUACUAUCAGAUGGGCCUAGGUCGGAUUAGCUAGUUGGUGGGGUAAAGGCCUACCAAGGCGACGAUCCGUAGCUGGUCUGAGAGGAUGAUCAGCCACACUGGGACGGAGACACGGUCCAGACUCCUACGGGAGGCAGCAGUGGGGAAUAUUGUACAAUGGGGGCAAGCCUGAUCCAGCCAUCCCGCGUGUAUGAUGAAGGCCUUCGGGUUGUAAAGUACUUUCGGCGGGUAGGCGUUACCCGCAGAAGAAGCACCGGCUAACUCCGUGCCAGCAGCCGCGGUAAUUC
rnacentral:rRNA from 1 species